UACGGAGGGUGCAAGCGUUGUCCGGAAUUACUGGGCGUAAAGGGCUCGUAGGCGGUUUGUCGCGUCGGGAGUGUCAACAUCUGGCUUAGCUGGGUGCUUGCUUUCGAUACGGGCAGACUUGAGGCAUGCAGGGGAGAAUGGAAUUCCUGGUGUAGCGGUGAAAUGCGCAGAUAUCAGGAGGAACACCGGUGGCGAAGGCGGUUCUCUGGGCAUGUCCUGACGCUGAGGAGCGAAAGUGUGGGGAGCGAACAGG
rnacentral:misc_RNA from 1 species